ensembl:lncRNA
GGACUUUGUUGGCAUAACAAAAUAAUCCUCAGGAAACCUGUGACUUUCUGUAACAGUAUUUAAUAUGCACAGAUUCAAACAAAUGCCACAAUGAUGUACUUUUAUGGACAAGUAUUAUAUAUUAAGCCCUGAUUUAUACAUCUGUGUGUAAUACGCUGGGCUCUGAAGAGAGCCUUUAAUCUCUGUGAUGAGGCAGCACACACACUGAAACACUGAGUGUACCCGCACAGAAGCGAUGCACCGAGUGCGGCAUCCAUCAGAGUAAAUACACAAUGCCGUCCUUCUGUAACGUGUGCAGUUUGGACGUGGGACUGACAUCAGGAAUUGCAUCGCCUGCAGCGCUUGUGCAGCCUCUGCUGCCUGUCCCCACUGUGGAAGAAGUCCCUGGAUGGAGGCUGCGGCCAGGCUCGUGAGGGAGGCAGACCGUGGUGCCUGCGGGAAGAACUGGGAGCGGACAGAAGCACUCUGGCAGACACCCCACCAAUAGAUACCACGGGGUGCAGAGCCGAACGGGGCCAGGAACAAAAGCUGCCUUUUGUUUUGGAUCUAGACCAAACUGUGGUUUUGGAGGGCACGCAUACAGAGUUCAGCGGUCUACGGCACAAAAAGUGAUGUCUGCAAUACCUAGGCAUUCGGCUUCCCACAGCAUCGAGGGAAGUCCCGGAAUACCUACCUAUAGGCCAGGUUAUUUACUUCCUCAAGUACCAGACUUCAACCACAGGAGCAGUGCAAGGCAAGGCAGAAGAUCAUCUUCUCCCACACGGAUUUCCCCAUCAAGGUCCUUACUAAAUGCGCUCCUAGGAUGAAGGGAGGGAACCCACGAACACAUAGCAUCCAGCAUGACUUGUUUUCCAUCUGGCAGAUCAACCAGCAGAAACCAGUCUGGGACCAGGUUCAGGGGACUGCCCUUCGCUUGCAGUCGGUUUCAGAGCUGCCUCAGUGAUGGGCUAAUGAGGUUCACCCACUGCCAGGCACCUCCCUGCGACUGAGAGCCACUGUACUGCAAAGCAAAGAGAACAACUUUGAUACUCUCUGGAGGUGAGACGGCAAGUGCAGCUGCGAGGCUCAAAAAGAAAGCACCAGAAAGCAGAGUACGAGCUACUGCUUGUCAUAUAGCAGAGGCAAACGUGAGCACAACCAAAACAACAGAGUGAUCACAACAGCGUUAUCCGAUUAGCAGCACCUGCAACCAACAGAAACAGAUCUUCAAAUGGAGCUGUCAGCCGCCGUUGCAACACCAAGUGUGCUACAACACACUGAGUGGGAAUAAGGAGCAGUGGUGUAAGAGGUGCAAUUGCAAGAGCACUGAAGGGACACUUGGCAGCGCUUGCGUGCCUGAAAUUAGAUCUGCCCAUCUCGUGCAUGGGUGCGUGGGGGGUGCCAGGUGGGAUUACAAUGAGGCUCUGCUUUCCCGUGAGGCAAAAAAUGUAUUCAAGUUCAGCCAAGAUAUAUGGGUUUAUAUACAAUGAUAUUAUUACUGUUGUUAUUGUGAUACAUGGCAUAAUAACUGCCUUUUACACACAUACCCAGACACGUGUACCGCCAUGCACUUAUUUUCUUUGUUACGAAAAAUAUUCAGCAUAUUGAAAUGUCACCAAAGUAUAGUUUAUCUGAUCGUAUUUCUUCCAUGAAGGGUAAGUGGUAAAAAUAAAGAGUAUUGAUA